rnacentral:rRNA from 1 species
AGUGAACGCUGGCGGUAGGCCUAACACAUGCAAGUCGAACGGCAGCACAGUAAGAGCUUGCUCUUACGGGUGGCGAGUGGCGGACGGGUGAGGAAUAUAUCGGAAUCUACUUUUUCGUGGGGGAUAACGUAGGGAAACUUACGCUAAUACCGCAUACGACCUACGGGUGAAAGCAGGGGAUCUUCGGACCUUGCGCGAUUGAAUGAGCCGAUGUCGGAUUAGCUAGUUGGCGGGGUAAAGGCCCACCAAGGCGACGAUCCGUAGCUGGUCUGAGAGGAUGAUCAGCCACACUGGAACUGAGACACGGUCCAGACUCCUACGGGAGGCAGCAGUGGGGAAUAUUGGACAAUGGGCGCAAGCCUGAUCCAGCUAUACCGCGUGGGUGAAGAAGGCCUUCGGGUUGUAAAGCCCUUUUGUUGGGAAAGAAAAGCAGCAGGUUAAUACCCCGCUGUUCUGACGGUACCCAAAGAAUAAGCACCGGCGAACUUCGU